UGCUUUUCACCACCUUCCUUCUCUCUCUUCUAGUUGCCUGGGGCAGAAGUGUUGAUGGAGAAGUGGGUUAACAUAGUGCUUCUAACGCUGCCAGCUCCUGAUGCCAGCACUCCUUUCUCAGCCUGCUCUCUGCUCAAAUUGAGUAUUAAAAAAAGAAAUAAAAGCCACAAAUGGGCUGAUGUGAGCAGAUGGUUUCGGUCAUAACCACAAAAACCUUCUUGUUUCCCGUUCCUGAUCGACACUGCUCUUGCAUAACGCCAAGUCCAUGACACUGAUGAAGAAAAUGCUGGCAUUAUCUGCCUGUUCCAGGGAUGAUGGACUGAAAGUUUGUGUCCCCCUUCUUCCCCCACCAAAGAUUCAUAUGUUGAAAUCCUGACCAUGAAGCUGAUGGUAUUGGGGGUUUGGGAAGCGAUUAGGUCUUGAAACUGGAGCCCUCAUAAAUGGGAUGAGUGCCCUCAUAAAAGAGACUCCAGAGAGCUUUGUAGACCUCCCUCUCUGCCAUGUGAAGAUGGAAAGAGAAGGCAGUCAUCUGCAACCCAGAAGAGGCCUUCGCCAGAGCCUGACCAGGCUGACACCCUGAUCUUGGAUGUCCAGCAUCUAUAACUGUCUUGUAUACCAGUGAAACUACUGAUGCCAGCUGGUCUAGAGGAAUCCAAGAGAAGCUGAUUCACCAAAGAAGGCUGUUUCCAGAUCAUGAUGAUUUCAUCCAUCCUACCUUGACCAAUCAAUGAUCCCAAUUUUCCAGUUACUUGCCCUCUACAAUCCCCUUAAAAGUCCCAGCCCAGAACUUCUCAGGGAGAUGGAUUUGAGGGUCCCUCCCAACUCCUUGCUUGGUUACCCUGUGAUCAUUAAACUCUUUCUCUGCUGCAAACCCUGUUGUCUUGGUGUAUUGGUUUGUUCCAGUGCAAUGGGCAUAUGAACUCGUUGGUCCUGUAACAAACUCUGCUGUUGUAGCAUGAAAGCUGCCAUAGAUAAUACAUAAAUGAACAUGUGUAGCUGUAUUC
rnacentral:lncRNA from 1 species